GGGCCCGCACAAGCGGUGGAGCAUGUGGUUUAAUUCGACGCAACGCGAAGAACCUUACCAGGGCUUGACAUCAAAUGAAAGAUCUAGAGAUAGAUCCCUCUCUUCGGAGACAUGAAGACAGGUGGUGCAUGGUUGUCGUCAGCUCGUGUCGUGAGAUGUUGGGUUAAGUCCCGCAACGAGCGCAACCCCUAUUGUUAGUUGCCAGCAUGUAAUGAUGGGCACUCUAGCGAGACUGCCGUGGACAACACGGAGGAAGGCGGGGAUGACGUCAAAUCAUCAUGCCCCUUAUGUCCUGGGCUACACACGUGCUACAAUGGACGGUACAAAGGGCAGCGAAGCCGCGAGGUGGAGCAAAUCCCAUAAAGCCGUUCUCAGUUCGGAUUGUAGUCUGCAACUCGACUACAUGAAGUCGGAAUCGCUAGUAAUCGCAGGUCAGCACACUGCGGUGAAUACGUUCCCGGGCCUU
rnacentral:rRNA from 1 species